UUUCUCCUGUCGUGGUUUGAUAUAAGAUGAUCCUUUUGUUUACAUUUACUACUGCUCUUUUGUUGUUUUCUAGUUGUUUACUAUAAGGCUUAGAUGGUACAGUAGCUUUGAGCUUACCAGUUCCACUUCGCAUGCAUUUAUUUUGUUGUUUAUGCUACCUUGCUGGCGAAUCAGGCUUGUUAUUUAUACAAGUUUGUGUUGAUUAUGGACUAUGUGAUAGUCCUGUUAAGUAAGGAGAUCUAAAUGGUCUAUUAUUUAACCCAAAGCAUGAAGCAUACAUUUUAAGCUGUCAUGAACAGAGACAGCUUUCCUGGGGACUGAUGCAGAACUUUCUGUUCUUCCUGGUUUAAAACUAAACAGAGGCUAUUUGACUGAAUAAUUUAAUUCUGGAAGUUAAGCUCAGAAAGAUGUUGGAAGCAGAGCAUCCAGAUACAAUCAAACCUCAUUAUAAUGGCAGUGUUUGUCUCAAAAUUUCAUGGUUGCUAUCGUGAAGCGGUGCUAUAUAUGUAUACUGACAAUUGACAUUUAAUUCUUAUUUAGCUGUUAUGAAACAUCAAAUGAUUAGUUUAGUGAUUUUGUACCAAGAAGAACUGUAUAUGUUAAUCAUUUAACCAAAAAUAUAGAAAGAGUAUGAAUGUAAAAAAGGCUAACACAUGUAGCCUUUCCUCGUGAAAUUAUGACUAUAACAGAUGGGCACCAUUUGAAAAUACCAUUUCUUUCCAAUUAGAUAUUCACACUAAACAUUUACUAUGUGCAUGAUAUUAAUGAUGAUCACCAUAAAUAUUUUAAUAUUUUAAUAUUUUAUUGUUAUACAAAAGAAUAUUCUGCAAAAUAUUAUGGCGCUGUAAUUUUACAAUGUGUAUAUCGUUAUAAUGAAUGAUACUAAUGUUAUAGGUAGAAUGUUGUUAUAGAGAAGUAAAAUAUAACAUGAAAAAUCGCUUUUAGAAUAAAUCAGGCAGUUAUACUGAAGCAAUGUUAUUACAAGGUUUGAUUGUAUAGGAUGAGUGUUCAUAAUUCAUGUGAUCUUCUAUCCUAGGUCAAACUUAUAUUUAAUUAUAAGUGGUUUGUAACACUUAGAAAAGAUAUUACAUGAAAAACUUAGGGUCAAAUUUCGGGUUAAAAAUGAUAAAGCAUGUGUUCUUUUUUGAGUUGAUCACUGUUAGAAUAGAAUAAGUAUUUCCUACUUAAAAUAGGAAUAGGAAUAUGAAUAAGAAUAAGAAUAGGAUUCCUAGUCAGAAACGAAUUCUAAUGUAGUGUCUAUAAAUAGGGACUCAAUGUAAAAUUUAGAUACACAAUUCAAUAUUUAUUUUUCCCAUAUAUUUCUUACUUGGUAUCAGAGAAUUGGUGAGAACUUCAAGUCACCGGUGUCAAAUUCCGGUGACGAAGGUGGGACUGAUUUGCGUUAUCUUUCGUUUUGAAGGUGUUGUGCAAAAGACAACACCGUCACGAGGCUUAGGAAGCUCAGGCGACCAAACCUCAACCAGACCCACCGGAAAAUACCCCUCCACGCUCCCCCACGCUCCGAUCAGAGGUGGAAAUUUUCUGGCGAGAUUUGUUCACGCGCCGGCGCGUGAGUGGUUCUCCAGUCACUUUUUUUUUCGAGAAUUUUUAUUUUGUUGGGGUCGCCUAGUAUUUCCGACCAGUUUUCUCUAGAUCCAAUCACCAAAAUUAGGGUUCUGGUGAUUUUCGGGCCGUUUCCAGCAAGAUUCCAGCGAAAUUAGAAUUUUCAGGCCACUGUGAGCAGAUUUCGGCAGCUUCCAAUAUUUUCAAACUAGUGUAGCACUUCUGGCAAUUUCCAGCAACAUACCAGUCUAUGGAGAAUAGACGGGCAGAGAACGUUUUGGAAAACCUCGCUCCAGGUGUAGUCAUUGUCAUAAAUCUGGACACACUCGUGACAUGUUAUAUUUUGCAUGGUCCACCACCCAGUUAUGAUCCUGUUGUUCUAAAGGAAUAUAGAGAGUUCCUUCGAUGUCGUGCAAAUAAACAACCGUCUCCACAAGUAGUUUCGGUUGAACAACCUCAUGUUUCUGCUGCGUGUAAUUCUGUUGCGGGUAAUUCUUUUACUUGUGUGUCACAGUCUAGCACUCUUGGAUCAUGGGUCAUAGACUCGGGGCUUCUGAUCAUAUCUCUGGUAAUAAAUCACUUUUGUCUGAUAUUAUUUAUUCACAAUCUCUUCCAGCUAUUACUUUAGCCAAUGGGAUCCAAACAAAACCAAAA